GAUGAAGAACGUAGCGAAAUGCGAUACGUAAUGUGAAUUGCAGAAUUCAGUGAAUCAUCGAAUCUUUGAACGCAUAUUGCGCUCUUUGGUAUUCCGAAGAGCAUGCUUGUUUGAGUAUCAGUAAACACCUCAGCCUCUUCUUGAUUUUUCAAAAGGAGGGUGGACUUGAGCUAUCCCAACAACCUUUACCGGUCGGCGGGCGGCUUGAAAUGCAGGUGCAGCUGGACUUUUAUCUGAGCUAAAAGCAUAUCUAUUUAGUCCUCGUCAAACAGGAUUAUUACUUUUGCUGCAGCUAACAUAAAGGAUAAUUGUCCUCUUUGCUGACUGAUGCAGGAUUUUACGACACUUUAUGUGUUGUUCAACUCGAUCUCAAAUCAAGUAAGACUACCCGCUGAACUUAAGCAUAUCAAUAAGCGGAGGA
rnacentral:misc_RNA from 1 species